AGAGUUAAACAGUACGUGAAAUUGUUGAAAGGGAAACGAUUGAAGUCAGUCAUGCUAAUAGGGAAUCAACUUGAUGGUUUGUUCCUCCGGGAGCAAUCUUUCUUGUGCACUUCCUUGUUCGGCAGGUUAGCAUCAAUUUCGGUUGUCAUCAAAAAAUUGAGGGAAUGUGACUUCUUUCGGGAAGUGUUAUAGACCUUGAUAUAUAUGAUAACUGGGAUUGAGGAUUGCAGCGGAUGCUUUUGGCUAGUCACCUACCUUCUGACGGUUACCUCGCUUUCGAUAGCUCGCUAACGAUUGUGGGAUUCAACAGUCUAGAUGUCGGAGUGAUCUUAUAUUCGCUAAGGAUGCUGACGUAAUGGCUUUAAACGA
rnacentral:misc_RNA from 1 species